GUCAGCAGCCAUGUCAUCCUGCAACUCACAUCUGGCAACGAACUGAAGCUAAGCAGUUGUGAGCCUGGGCAGUACCUGGAUGUGAGACUUCCUGGGAAAAACUAAGGUUGCCGCUGGAA
rnacentral:rRNA from 1 species